UACGAAGGGGGCUAGCGUUGCUCGGAAUUACUGAGCGUAAAGCGCACGUAGGCGGCUUUCUAAGUCGGGGGUGAAAUCCUGGAGCUCAACUCCAGAACUGCCUUCGAUACUGGAAAGCUCGAGUCCGGAAGAGGAGAGUGGAAUUCCUGGUGUAGCGGUGAAAUGCGCAGAUAUCAGGAAGAACACCCGUGGCGAAGGCGGCUCUCUGGGACGGUACUGACGCUGAGACGCGAAAGCGUGGGGAGCGAACAGG
rnacentral:rRNA from 1 species